rfam:Penicillium solitum strain IBT 29525 PENSOL_contig047, whole genome shotgun sequence.
GGCGGUUUGGCGGAGUGGUUAACGCGAUUGACUCGGUAUGUCAUAUCAUAAUCAUUGUCCUACUCAUGAAACUCUUACUAAUCCUCUUCCUCAGAAAUCAAUUCCAUUCGUGGGCGCAUGUUCGAAUCAUGCAGCCGUCG